GUGCCGGCUGCUGAUCGAAUGUUUCGUCGGCCACUCGGAAAUCAGCCAACAAAAACCCCUGUGCGUAAGUGUACCAGGAAAAGUGAUCCGUUGUCGAGCAAAAUCCGUGGCCUGAUAGUCCCUACAAGAAGUUUAGUACGGAACUGCUUGUCUGUAGUUUACCGUUUCAGUCCUUGGAUCUUAGAUUCCAAAGGUCUGUUGUGUUUGAGUCUCAUGGAAGUGGAAAGAAAAGCUAUUGGUGAAGGACAGGAGCAGAAGGACCGAAAAGAUGAGCCUACCAACUGCACUCGCUCGUUAGCAAAUCUACAUCUAAGGGGCAGUUCGUAUUCUGCCGGGUUGCUGUUGGAGCGAUGGCUACCGUCAACGACCUUUUCCGGCACGAAACUAUCAUCUGAGUGUACUAGACGACAUGCAAAAUACUAACAAAGUAACUCCUUAGUGAUUUAUCACGAGGAUUUAUCAAGAACAUACCUAAUGGAUACCUUAGCUAAUGGAACUUAAUGGAUACCUUAGCUUCAGCAGGUUCGGCUAAUAUUCAGAUUCCAGAUGCUGCUGAAUUUUUUCAAGUGUUUCAUAAAAUCUCUAACUAUCCUUGAGCUAAAUUCUAUGAUCGGGAUGUUUGCAAAAAAAAAAACUUCGUUAGCAGAAUUGGAGCGCAGAAUAAAGAAUGGCAGGAGUCGAAAAAUAAAGAGAAGGAUAUCGAUGAAGAAAUGGAGUAAGAAUCGAAAAAGAUUGAUUCAACAACUACAUCUGCGGACAAGUGGAUCGACGUUGACUUAAUAGUAGGGUAACGGACUUAUUUUGGACCAGGGGACCUAUUUUGGACCACCUUGUCUAGCUCUCUUAUAAAGCAACUAAUUAUGAAAAAUUUUAGUGCAUUGAAUUGAGUGCCCGAGCUUUAACUAUAUAUGUUUAAAAAAUAUGAUUAGUUGCUCCGUUACCCUAGCGUUGUAGGCUUAAAUUACUUCAUAUCUAUCAAAAGUUAAUUAUGUGCAGCAAUGUGUAUAAUAGUUGCGAAAUCAUAGAAGCUACAAUGGGCAAUGUUAAAUCGUGUCAGGUUGAAGACAUUUGAUUUUAGUAACAUUCUGAUUUAUGUA